rnacentral:lncRNA from 1 species
GCAUUAUUGCCAAAAGUGACUGUUUAUUAAAAAUUUCAUAUUUUCUGUAAUGGUCCUGUUUUUUUCUGUAAUGGCCCUGUUUUUCUGUAAUGGCCCUGUUUUUCUGUAAUGGCCCUGUUUUUUCUGUAAUGGCCCUGUUUUUCUGUAAUGGCCCUGUAUUAAUGCCCAGUUUGUCUGUAUUAAGCCUUAUUAGGGUUUUUAAUAAAGUUAAUAAAAACUGUUGUAAAGAGUAUAAUACCUUUUUGUAUUUUAUUUAAUUUAGUAACCAGCAACCAACAUUAAAG